UACGGAGGGUGCAAGCGUUAUCCGGAUUCACUGGGUUUAAAGGGUGCGUAGGUGGGAAUGUAAGUCAGUGGUGAAAUCUCCGUGCUUAACAUGGAAACUGCCAUUGAUACUAUGUUUCUUGAAUUUUCUGGAGGUCAGCGGAAUAUGUCAUGUAGCGGUGAAAUGCUUAGAUAUGACAUAGAACACCAAUUGCGAAGGCAGCUGACUACAGGGAUAUUGACACUGAGGCACGAAAAGCGUGGGGGAUCAAACAGG
rnacentral:rRNA from 1 species